CCUUGUACACACCGCCCGUCACACCAUGGGAGUUGUUUGGACCCGAAGCCGCCUGGCCAACCCGCAAGGGAAGUAAGCGUCUAAGGUCUGGACAGUGACUGGGGUG
rnacentral:rRNA from 1 species